rnacentral:rRNA from 1 species
AACGAACGCUGGCGGCAGGCUUAACACAUGCAAGUCGAGCGCCCCGCAAGGGGAGCGGCAGACGGGUGAGUAACGCGUGGGAAUCUACCCAUCUCUACGGAGUAACGCAUGGAAACGUGUGCUAAUACCGUAUACGUCCUUCGGGAGAAAGAUUUAUCGGAGAUGGAUGAGCCCGCGUUGGAUUAGCUAGUUGGUGGGGUAAAGGCCUACCAAGGCGACGAUCCAUAGCUGGUUUGAGAGGAUGAUCAGCCACACUGGGACUGAGACACGGCCCAGACUCCUACGGGAGGCAGCAGGGGGGAAUAUUGGACAAUGGGCGCAAGCCUGAUCCAGCCAUGCCGCGUGAGUGAUGAAGGCCCUAGGGUUGUAAAGCUCUUUCACCGGUGAAGAUAAUGACGGUAACCGGAGAAGAAGCCCCGGCUAACUUCGUGCCAGCCGCCGCGGUAACAC